GACGAACGCUGGCGGCGUGCCUAAUACAUGCAAGUCGAACGCAGUGGGGCCGGGUGAGUAACACGUGGGUAACCUCCCAUCAGAGGGGAUAACACUUGGAAACAGGUGCUAAACCGAUACAGAUGGAUGGACUCGCGGUGCAUUAGCUAGUGGGUGAGUUAACGGCUCACAAAGGCCACGAUGCCUACCCGACCUGAGAGGGUGAUCGUACACCAGGGUACUGAGACACGGCCCGUACUCCUACGGUAGGCAGCAGUAGGGAAUCUUCGGAAAUGGACGAAAGUCGGACCGAGCAACGCCGCGUGAGUGAAGAAGGUUGUCGGAUCGUAAAACUCUGUUGUUAGAGAAGCGGUAUCUAACCAGAAAGCCACGGCUAACUACGUGCCAGCAGCCGCGGUAAUAC
rnacentral:rRNA from 1 species